CGCCCAUCAGCUAGCCACCCCCACUAAAAACAACAAACCCCCAUCAAUACCCCCUAAAGCACUUAAAUCAACUAAACAAACCAUUUUUCCCCCCGAGUAUGGGCGACAGAAAAGGAACUACUGCGCCAUAGAAAAAGUACCGCAAGGGAACGCUGAAAGAGAAAUGAAACAACCCAGUAAAGCCCAAAAAAGCAGAGAUCUAGACUCGUACCUUUUGCAUCAUGAUUUAGCUAGAAAACCUCAAGCAAAGAGCACUUUAGUUUGAUUCCCCGAAACUACGUGAGCUACUCCAAGACAGCCUAACAACUAGGGCAAACCCGUCUCUGUGGCAAAAGAGUGGGAAGAUCUUUGAGUAGAGGUGACAGACCUAUCGAACCUAGUUAUAGCUGGUUGCCUGGGAAAUGAAUAGAAGUUCAGCCUCUCGGAUUCUCCCCUCACUCCACCCACCCCCUCCGACAACUAAAAGAAACCGAAAGAGUUAGUCGAAGGGGGUACAGCCCCUUUGACACAAGAUACAACUUUCCCAGAAGGGUAAAGAUCAUAUCCAGCACCAAGGUAAAAUGUUUAGGUGGGCCCAAAAGCAGCCACCCCAUAGAAUGCGUUAAAGCUCAGACAUGACUACCACCCCCAAUCCUGACAAUCUUAUCUUAACCCCCUAACCCUACCAGGCCAUUCCAUGCAGACAUGGAAGUGACCAUGCUAAUAUGAGUAAUAAGAGAGUAUAAACCUCUCUCCUUGCACAAGUGUAACUCGGAACGGACCACCCACCGAACAUUAACGACCCCAAACAAAGAGGGCUUUGAACAACAGACCCGUCAACUAGAAAAACACUCAAUAAACUAAUCGUUAAACCCACACUGGUGUGCCUUCAAGGAAAGACUAAAAGAAAGAGAAGGAACUCGGCAAACACAUGAAGCCUCGCCUGUUUACCAAAAACAUCGCCUCUUGCAAAAUUAAUGAAUAAGAGGUCCUGCCUGCCCUGUGACCAUGAGUUCAACGGCCGCGGUAUUUUGACCGUGCAAAGGUAGCGCAAUCACUUGUCUUUUAAAUAAAGACCCGUAUGAAUGGCAAGACGAGGGCUUAGCUGUCUCCUUUUUCAGGUCAAUGAAAUUGAUCUUUCCGUGCAGAAGCGGGAAUAUUUUCAUAAGACGAGAAGACCCUAUGAAGCUUUAGACACCAAGACAGAUCACGUCAAGGCCCCCUAAUAAAGGACUAAAACUAACUGAGCCCUGUCCUAAUGUCUUUGGUUGGGGCGACCACGGGGAACUACAAAACCCCCGCGUGGAACGAAAGCACCACCCCGCUUUUACAACUAAGAGCCUCUGCUCUAAUAAACAGAAUAUCUGACCAACAAGAUCCGGCAACGCCGAUCAACGAACCGAGUUACUCUAGGGAUAACAGCGCAAUCCUCUUUUAGAGUCCAUAUCGACAAGAGGGUUUACGACCUCGAUGUUGGAUCAGGACAUCCUAAUGGUGCAGCCGCUAUUAAGGGUUCGUUUGUUCAACGAUUAAAGUCCUACGUGAUCUGAGUUCAGACCGGAGCAAUCCAGGUCAGUUUCUAUCUAUGCCAUGAUUUUUUCUAGUACGAAAGGACCGAAAAAAAGGGACCCAUGCCUUAAGUACGCCCCACCCUCACCCUAUGCAAUCAACUAAAACAGACAAGAGGACAUAUUAACCACGCCCAAGAAAACGGUUU
rnacentral:rRNA from 1 species